UCGGCCCCGCCCCACCCCGCCCCUUGCCCUGGUGGACACUGGUGGCUGCAGGCUUGAGCGGGCGGGCGAGGAGCUGUCGGCUUUGUGUGUGGGCGCGCGGGGAGCCCGGAGCUGCGGCGGGCAUGAGGUAGGUGAGAGCCCUGAGUAUCUGAGCAAGGCAGCAUGGCAAAAGCCAGUACAGCACCGUGGAUGUCCCAGAGCAGGAAUGGGCCAGGUUGCACAGUGGUGGAAAGGCUGGCAAACCUGAGAUCCAGGAGAAGCGGGAACAGGCUUGUUACUUCAGGAAACACAGAGGAAGACUCAAAGAAGCUCAGAGCGAAUGUUCCAAUGCAAGGAGGAGGAAGCGAGAUGCACUCCUGAAAGACUGGAAGGGUCGAGGCAGGAGGCCGAGAAGCUGAUGCCAGGCUAUUUCCAGAAAGACAGGAAAUGACUUGAGGAUAGACAGCUCCAUUGUGAAACCUCCAUCCAGUGCACAAAGGCUGAAAAGGCGACGAUAGCCAAAGCUGACCCAGAAACCAAUCCUUGCAUCAUCUGCUCAGUACAACCCUGCUAAGCUGGCCAGUGCUCCUCUUGGGACAGCUCCCUCACAGCCAUUCCCCAUGAAACUCCUUCACAAAGACUGAAGAAAUAGGAGAGCUGGGGCCCCAGCAAGAUGCACUUGAUGACUGUAAAAUAGUCUCCAUUGCCAUUGUUUUUGUAAAUAUGUUGCUCUGGUCUAGUAUUGCAGCUGGCCUGCAUCUCUGUAUAAUAAAGUAGAUUCUGGAGAAAAGUCACUAUAAUUCACAUCCUUCACACAGUUCUUUAUUAUGCGUGUCAAGCUGUCUGCAGUGACUCAGGAACAUGAGUAGCAACCUCAGGGCAGACUGCUAAGAACCAGGGCACAAACCCCAAAUUGCCUGUGAGUUCUAUACUUAGAUUUCGCCAGUCAGUUAUUAAGUGUAAAC
rnacentral:lncRNA from 1 species